UGCCCUGACAAUGGGUAAAAGACACUUUGUUGUUAGUGUUCUUCUAUCAGUCAGAGGCAGAGCAGAGGGCAGUCCUUUGUUUAUCCUAGCUUGAUGCCUGGUUUGGUGGCCAAAGCUGUCUUAUGCCUAGGACUCACAA